rnacentral:tRNA from 1 species
GGGUCUGUAGCUCAGGUGGUUAGAGUUCAGCUGGUCGUAGGUCGGAGGUUCAACUCUUCCCAGACCCACCA